rnacentral:rRNA from 1 species
GGGGGCCCGCAAGCGGUGGAGCAUGUGGUUCAAUUCGACGCAACGCGAAGAACCUUACCUGGGCUCGAACGGCUAUGGACAAUCUUUGGAAACAGAGACUUCUCGCAAGAGACUGUAGUCGAGGUGCUGCAUGGCUGUCGUCAGCUCGUGUCGUGAGAUGUUGGGUUAAGUCCCGCAACGAGCGCAACCCUUGUCCUGUGUUGCCAUCAUUAAGUUGGGCACUCUCAGGAGACCGCCAGCGAUAAGCUGGAGGAAGGUGGGGAUGAUGUCAAGUCAUCAUGGCCUUUAUGUCCAGGGCUACACACGUGCUACAAUGGCCGGUACAAAGCGCUGCAAACUCGCAAGAGGGAGCUAAUCGCAAAAAACCGGUCUCAGUUCGGAUCGCAGGCUGCAACUCGCCUGCGUGAAGCUGGAAUCGCUAGUAAUGCCGUAUCAGAACGAUGGCGUGAAUACGUUCCCGGGCCUUGUACACACC